rnacentral:rRNA from 1 species
AGAGUUUGAUCAUGGCUCAGAACGAACGUUGGCGGCGUGGAUUAGGCAUGCAAGUCGAACGAAUCCCAGGGGGGUAACUCUCUGGGGGAAGUGGCGAAAGGGGCAGUAAGGCGUGGGUAACCUACCCCGGGGACCGGGAUAGCCAUCCUAACGGGUGGGUAAUACCGGGCGAUCUGACGGAGGCGCCUGUCUUUGUCAGGAAAUGAAUUUCGCCUCGGGAGGGGCUCACGUGGUAUUAGCUAGUUGGUAGGGUAACGGCCUACCAAGGCCAAGAUGCCUAGCAGGUGUGAGAGCACGACCUGCGCCACUGGCACUGAGACACUGGCCAGACUCCUACGGGAGGCUGCAGUCGAGGAUCUUCGGCAAUGGGCGCAAGCCUGACCGAGCGACGCCGCGUGUGCGAUGAAGGCCUUCGGGUUGUAAAGCACUGUCGAGGGGGAGGAAGCCGCAAGGUUGACCUAUCCCUGGAGGAAGCACGGGCUAAGUUCGUGCCAGCAGCCGCGGUAAGACGAACCGUGCAAACGUUGUUCGGAAUCACUGGGCUUAAAGGGCGCGUAGGCGGCUUACCAAGUCCGGGGUGAAAUCUUUCGGCUUAACCGGAAAAGUGCCUUGGAUACUGGUAGGCUUGAGGGAGGUAGGGGCAUGUGGAACUUCCGGUGGAGCGGUGAAAUGCGUUGAUAUCGGAAGGAACGCCGGUGGCGAAAGCGACGUGCUGGACCUCUUCUGACGCUGAGGCGCGAAAGCUAGGGGAGCGAACGGGAUUAGAUACCCUAGUAGUCC